GAGACUCUGUGCGCGUGCAUAUCAAUAAGCGGAGGAAAAGAAACUAACAAGGAUUCCCCUAGUAACGGGCGAGUGAAGCGGGAAGAGCUCAAAUUUGAAAUCUUAAAGGGUUUCCCUUUACGAAUUGUAGUUUAAAGAAGUGUUUUCUGUUGGAGUUUCGGUAAAAGUUCUUUGGAAUAGGACAUCAUAGAGGGUGAGAAUCCCGUAUUUGACCGUUACUUUCCAGCUGUGUGAUACACUUUCAAAGAGUCGGAUUGUUUGGGAAUGCAGUCCAAAAUGGGUGGUAAAUUUCAUCUAAAGCUAAAUAUUGGCGAGAGACCGAUAGCGAACAAGUACCGUGAGGGAAAGAUGAAAAGAACUUUGAAAAGAGAGUUAAACAGUACGUGAAAUUGUCAAAAGGGAAGCGUUUGACACCAGUGUUGUUUUCUCGAAAAUCAAUUAAAAAUGGCCGGAUUUUGUGUUGUAUUGACUUUAUCAGCUUUCUGCACUUUUUUCUUGUCUUUUUUAAUGCACUUUUCGUUUAACAAGUCAACAUCAAUUUCUUUUGUUGUAAAAGGGUAAGAGGAAGGUGGCUUGCGCUUCGGCGUAAGUGUUUAUAGCCUUUUACCUCUGCAAUCGGAGAGAUUGAGGACAGCAGCGUAGACUCUUCGGGGUUAGAUACACUUGUGCUAAGCUAUAGCCUUGUAUAGACAACUUGUUGACUAUGCUCAGUCAUGUAGCUUACUCGCUUGUGCUAUUUUACCUACGCUUAGGAUGUUGAACUCUAUCACACACAG
rnacentral:rRNA from 1 species